AUUCAUAUUAAUUAAAAUUUAAUAUUUAAUCGAUUCUUAAAAAGAAAAUUUCGAAGUAUGUGAGAUAGAGUAAAAGUAUAGUAAAAUUAAUCAUGAUCUUUUAAUCAUUUUGAGAAGAUAAUAAGAGUAUCUGGGUUAAGAUUGUGUGUUUAAGGGUGAAAUUUAUCGUUCAUCUUUCAAGAGGAAAAAAUUUUACUUUGUUGAAAAUUUUGAAUUGAGAAAAAGUUGUAUCGCAUUUUGAAUCAUCCAUUUUUUACAAUAUGAAUAAUUAAUAUUAUAAUAUUCUAGUUAUUUUUAUUAAACUCUAAAAUUAUGUAACAACGAAUUCCAGUACUAGCGAAUGUAGUUUUUUCUAUGCAGAUCAUGUAAAACUAUUCCUGAAGUUGUGUUCGCAUGUCAAAUACUAACCUGGUAAACUCGAUCUAUGUACAGACUACAAAUUGUAGUUCAGCAAGUAGUGAAGACCACUUAUAAUACACAGCCUGCAGUAGUAUAUGGACAAUAUAAUCAGACAUUGAAGACGCUUAAGAAAUGAAGAUUUUAGCUUCUAUUCUUUAACAAAAAGCACAUAUAUAUUAUAUGUAUGGUAAUUGCAAAGCACUAACUUCACCAUUUAUCGACAAUAUUGCGUAUUUACUUACCUUCUUUAGAUAUACAUGUAAAGCUAUGUUUAUGGACAGUAAAUAAUAUGUGUUAAAAACCAACUAAUAUUUAGUGUAAUUUUAAUAGCGUUAUUUAUUCAAAUUGAAUGAUUCUAUUUUAUAUACCGAAAAGGUUGAUCGUUUAACUUUACACAGAGAAUUGUUUUCUGUAAUAAAAGUUUAUUUAAUAAGCGUACAAAGCUUUCUCUUGGUAGUGACCUUUUAUUGUAAAUAUUCUAUAUAUAAAAUAAAACAAUAAUAAUAAUUUACAGUAACGAUAA